AUAUCAAUAAGCGGAGGAAAAGAAACCAACAGGGAUUGCCUCAGUAACGGCGAGUGAAGCGGCAAAAGCUCAAAUUUGAAAUCUGACCCUUCGGGUCCGAGUUGUAAUUUGCAGAGGAUGUUUCGGGUAAGAUUUUGGUCUAAGUUCCUUGGAACAGGACGUCAUAGAGGGUGAGAAUCCCGUACGUGACCGUUAAUCGCACCCAUGUGAAACUCCUUCGACGAGUCGAGUUGUUUGGGAAUGCAGCUCAAAAUGGGUGGUAAAUUUCAUCUAAAGCUAAAUAUUGGCCAGAGACCGAUAGCGCACAAGUAGAGUGAUCGAAAGAUGAAAAGCACUUUGAAAAGAGAGUUAAACAGUAU
rnacentral:rRNA from 1 species